UCGAGAAUUUUUCUCAAUGGGGGAAACCCUGAAGGAGCGACGCCGCGUGGAGGAUGAAGGUUUUCGGAUUGUAAACUCCUGUCAUCCGGGAGCAAUGCUGCGCGUUUAACUGACGCGUAGUUGAUAGUACCGGAAGAGGAAGAGACGGCUAACUCUGUGCCAGCAGCCGCGGUAAUACAGAGGUCUCAAGCGUUGUUCGGAUUUAUUGGGCGUAAAGGGUGCGCAGGCUGUAUGGUAAGUUUGGUGUGAAAUCCUGGGGCUUAACCCCAGAAUUGCACUGAAUACUGCCGUGCUAGAGGACUGGAGAGGAGAUUGGAAUUCACGGUGUAGCAGUGAAAUGCGUAGAUAUCGUGAGGAAGACCAGUGGCGAAGGCGAAUCUCUGGACAGUUCCUGACGCUCAUGCACGAAGGCCAGGGGAGCAAACGGG
rnacentral:rRNA from 1 species